GGGAAGGUAGCUCAGUGGUAGAGUGCUUGCCUCGCGUGCAUGAGGCCCUGGGUUCAAUUCCUCAGCACCA
rfam:Dipodomys ordii contig_28625, whole genome shotgun sequence.